rnacentral:rRNA from 1 species
UGAGCAAUCUGCCCUUCUCUUUGGAAUAAGCGUUGGAAACGACGUCUAAUGCCGAAUACGACCUCCUUUCGCAUGAUCGGAGGUGGAAAGCUCCGGCGGAGAAGGAUGAGCUCGCGGCCUAUCAGCUAGUUGGUGUGGGUAAUGGCCCACCAAGGCUUCGACGGGUAGCCGGCCUGAGAGGGCGACCGGCCACACUGGGACUGAGAUACGGCCCAGACUCCUACGGGAGGNAG